AUCCAGCUGAUGAGUCCCAAAUAGGACGAAACGCACACCAAACUGGAU
rnacentral:hammerhead_ribozyme from 1 species